AGACGUUAUUUCUGAGUCCAAAGUCGUAGCGGUUUUCCCAUAUUUAAUAACGGAAUUAUUAAUAAUGUGUUUUAUUUUGUCGUAACGAGUUCACUGCAAGACUUAAAUUUUCUUCCGGCACGCAGAUAUUUACAAAGGUUCGCUGAAAUGUACAAGGUCCUUCUCCUCCUAGCAACGUUGGCGUUGUGCAGUUACAUUGCAAUGACAGCACCGCAUCCGGAACCCAGUCCUAAUCCAGAACCCAAACCGAAUCCAAAACCUUUUGUAUGGUUUGGUUGGGGUCCGUGGGGAUGGGGUUGGCCAGCCGUUUAUCCCACAUAUAGAGUGACAUACUGGUGGUAAAAUACUCAAUGUUUCCUUAAAUAUGCUUUAUUCAAAUAAAAUACUGUUCGUUA